rnacentral:rRNA from 1 species
AGAGUUUGAUUAUGGCUCAGGAUGAACGCUGGCGGCGUGCCUAACACAUGCAAGUCGAACGAAGCACCUUACCUGAUUCUUCGGAUGAAGGUCUGGUGACUGAGUGGCGGACGGGUGAGUAACGCGUGGGUAACCUGCCCUGUACAGGGGGAUAACAGUUGGAAACGGCUGCUAAUACCGCAUAAGCGCACGAGAGGACAUCCUCUUGUGUGAAAAACUCCGGUGGUACAGGAUGGGCCCGCGUCUGAUUAGCUGGUUGGCAGGGUAACGGCCUACCAAGGCGACGAUCAGUAGCCGGUCUGAGAGGAUGAACGGCCACAUUGGAACUGAGACACGGUCCAA